rnacentral:tRNA from 1 species
UCCAGGGUGGCGAAACGGCAGCCGCACUCCACUGUUAAUGGAGCGCCCUCGGGCGUGGGGGUUCGACUCCCUCCCCUGGAG